GGGAACUAUGUGUACAUAUACUGAAACCGGAACGAUACAGAGAGGAUUAGCAUGGGCCCGGAGUAAGGAUGACACGCAAAAUAGUGAAGCUAUGAACAAGACA